ACACUGUCUGAACCAAGGAGGGCCCUGCUGCUAGAAACUUGCCAGACAGCACUCUGGCUUGUUCUGCUAACUCUGAUCAAUCAGUUACAGACAAGGAGAGACGUUACAUGUUACACAUGACCCCCUGCCACAGAGACUGGAAGGAUCUUCUGCCCACCCAACUUGCAAACGUUUCCCAAAAAGACAACCAGGUUCCUUUUGGGAAGUACAGUCACUGUUUUUAAACCAGCUGGCAGAGAUGUGAGCCUUCAGUACGAGAGGUGAGGGAGAGAGUCCAAGACAUCCCCACGCUGGAGGAAUGAGAUUGCUCCUGCCACUCAAUUUAAAUUACAAUAAUAUAUUGGCUGGACCAGAGGGAGAGAACUACGCCUAAGGGGAAGCAUGACUUUGUAGUAAGCUCCACUGCCUGUUCUCAUUUUUGCUCAUGGAUGUGAUCUUAAUAUUAAAGAGCACAUGAAAGACAGAGCUCAGCGACAGUGCUUGACCCCAGCCUUUCUCUUCAUAGGCAGGCACCUUCCCCACUAGGCUCUCCCCUCCUCCAGCUAAGCUUUAAAAAUGGCCAAAGCACAGACGUGAUGCUCAUCGGAAGCUCAGUUCUCCUGAACAAUGAGCAUGUUCUGAUCACAACUUGGGCACAGCACUCUGUUUUGGGGUCAGGUCACACUUCUUUAUGAGUCAGGCAGUGGGACUCCUAUUCUGAGCAGUCCAGGGCAAGACUGAAAGCAAAAUCCAGUUGUCUGUAGAUGUCACAGAGAUGUAUCACCUGCAGGGGCAAGUGAACAGGGAACACGCAGAUAACAGUUACAGACUUGAGCAUCUAACUCUGCUUAGAACCUGCUUAAGGUACCUUGUUUUGUUACUGGGUUUCUAGGUCACAGUUCCCUUCUACCAGUCCGCUCCAAACCAGACAGGAAGGUUAUAGCAACAAACAUAUUAACAAUUUAGGUGAUGCUACAGUAACAGGGCCUGAAGUGCGUAUCCUUGCACUGAGAGAGCUCAGUUGCUUUUUCCUACUUAUGUCCAUGUCCUUCUCUCCUGCUUAACACUUUCAGCCCUUAUGAGAUAAGCCCUAUUAGAAUACUCGGCUUUUCUACUUCUCUCCCUUAAAAACAACUCUGUUAGUGAACCUUUCCAUUGCCAAUAGAGUUUAUAAGAAAUAAAAAAGAAACUGAAGGAGAAGAGAAAGAAAGGAGGAAAGAGACAGCUUUCUAUCAAACCUUGCAGUUCAUCUAGCCCAUCUCAAAGCAGGUAUAGACAAGAAUAGCUGCUCAGCAUGCGUGGAAAAUAGUUUUACUAAAUGUGGAAGGAAAAGCAUUGAUUCAAUCUCAUGGACAUGAGAAGUCAAAAUUGCACAGUUGCCAUUAGUGCUCUUGCUGCUGUGAAGCCUGAAAGGAGUGGAACGGCUGCUCAGAGGACAACAGAAAGGCAAUGAAGGAAGCCAAAAUUAUUCUUCCGAAUUUCCUCUCUCUGCUGCUGUAAUUGGGCACCCCAAGGUAUUCUCUUCUCUGCCACAAAAGUGAGCAGUCAAACCCGUCGCUGCAUACAUAGUAGGCAGCAGAGAACUGACAACCAGGGCAACUAUUUCCAUUGAUUUUUCAUAACGUGAUCAAUAAAAUAUUUCAUUACGAC
ensembl:lncRNA